rnacentral:rRNA from 1 species
GAUUAACGCUGGCGGCGUGCAUAACACAUGCAAGUCGAACGAUGAAACUUAAAUGAUUUCUUCGGAAUGAACUUAAGUGGAUUAGUGGCGGACGGGGGAGUAACGCGUGAGUAACCUGCCUUACACAAGGGGAUAGCCGUUGGAAACGACGAAUAAUACCCUAUGAUGUUUCUAUCUCGCAUGAGAUAUUAACCAAAGUGUUAGCGGUGUAAGAUGGACUUGCGUCUGAUUAGCUAGUAGGAGAGAAAAAAGCCCACCAAGGCAACGAUCAGUAGCCGGCUUGAGAGAGUGUACCGCCACAUUGGGACUGAGACACGGCCCAGACUCCUACGGGAGGGAGCAGUGCGGAAUUUUGCACAAUGGGGGAAACCCUGAUGCCGCGACGCCGCGUGAUUUAGAAGGCCUUCGGGUUGUAAAAAUCUUUUGUAUAGGAAGAACAUGACAGUACUAUACGAAUAAGGCCCGGCUAAUUACGUG